rnacentral:rRNA from 1 species
GACGAACGCUGGCGGCGUGCCUAAUACAUGCAAGUAGGACGCAGUUGCGAACGGGUGAGUAACGCGUAGGUAACUACCUAUUAGAGGGGGAUAACUAUUGGAAACGAUAGCUAAUACCGCAUACUAGUAGCUUGACCUGCGUUGUAUUAGCUAGUAGGUUGGGUAAAGGCUGACCUAGGCAACGAUACAUAGCCUAGCUGAGAGGGUGAUCGGCCACACUGGGACUGAGACACGGCCCAGACUCCUACGGGAGGCAGCAGUAGGGAAUCUUCGGCAAUGGGGGGAAACCUGACCGAGCAACGCCGCGUGAGUGAAGAAGGUUUGCGGGUCGUAAAGCUCUGUUGUUAAGGAAGCGGUACAUAAACAGAAAGGGACGGCUAACUACGUGCCAGCCGCCGCGGUAAUAC